AUUUAAGUAGUUUAAUUAAAAUAUUGAUUUGUGGAAUCAAAGAUAUAGUGAUAUCUUAAAUA
rnacentral:tRNA from 2 species